UACGUAGGGUGCGAGCGUUGUCCGGAAUUAUUGGGCGUAAAGAGCUCGUAGGCGGUCUGUCGCGUCGGCUGUGAAAACUCGGGGCUCAACUCCGAGCUUGCAGUCGAUACGGGCAGGCUAGAGUUCGGCAGGGGAGACUGGAAUUCCUGGUGUAGCGGUGAAAUGCGCAGAUAUCAGGAGGAACACCGGUGGCGAAGGCGGGUCUCUGGGCCGAUACUGACGCUGAGGGGCGAAAGCGUGGGGAGCGAACAGG
rnacentral:rRNA from 1 species